rnacentral:rRNA from 1 species
AUUGAACGCUGGCGGCAGGCCUAACACAUGCAAGUCGAGCGGAGCGGCGGACGGGGGAGUAAUGCCUAGGAAUCGGCCUGGGAGUGGGGGAUAACGUCCGGAAACGGGCGCUAAUACCGAAUGCUCUCAGAUGAGACUAGGUCGGAGUAGAUAGUUGGUGGGGUAAAGGCCUAACAAGGCUACGAUCCGGAACUGGUCUGGGAGGAUGAUCAGUCACACUGGAACUGAGAAACGGUCCAGACUCCGACGGGAGGCAGCAGUGGGGAAUAUUGGACAAUGGGCGAAAGCCUGAUCCAGCCAUGCCGCGUGUAUGAAGAAGGUCUUCGGAUUGUAAAGCACUUUCAGUUGGGAGGCGUUACCAACAGAAGAAGCACCGGCUAACUUCGUGCCAGCAGCCGCGGUAAUAC